rnacentral:tRNA from 1 species
GCUUCGGUGGCGAAAUUGGUAGACGCGCUGGAUUCAAAAUCCAGUUCCUUUUGGAGUGUGGGUUCGAUUCCCACCCGAAGUA